rnacentral:rRNA from 1 species
UACAGAGGUCUCAAGCGUUGUUCGGAUUCAUUGGGCGUAAAGGGUGCGUAGGCGGCGCGGUAAGUCGGAUGUGAAAUCUCGGAGCUUAACUUCGAAACUGCAUUCGAUACUGCCGUGCUUGAGGACUGGAGAGGAGACUGGAAUUUACGGUGUAGCGGUGAAAUGCGUAGAUAUCGUAAGGAAGACCAGUGGCGAAGGCGGGGUCUCUGGACAGUUCCUGACACUGAGGCACGAAGGCCAGGGGGAGCAAAACGGGG